ACUCCUACGGGAGGCAGCAGUAGGGAAUCUUCCGCAAUGGGCGAAAGCCUGACGGAGCAACGCCGCGUGAGUGAUGAAGGUCUUCGGAUCGUAAAGCUCUGUUAUUAGGGAAGAACAAGUGCGUAAGUAACUGUGCGCACCUUGACGGUACCUAAUCAGAAAGCCACGGCUAACUACGUGCCAGCAGCCGCGGUAAUACGUAGGUGGCAAGCGUUAUCCGGAAUUAUUGGGCGUAAAGCGCGCGCAGGCGGUUCUUUAAGUCUGAUGUGAAAUCUUGCGGCUCAACCGUAAGCGGUCAUUGGAAACUGGAGAACUUGAGUACAGAAGAGGAGAGUGGAAUUCCACGUGUAGCAGUGAAAUGCGUAGAUAUGCGGAGGAACACCGAUGGCGAAGGCAAUCCCCUGGGCCUGCACUGACGCUCAUGCACGAAAGCGUGGGGAGCAAACAGGAUUAGAUACCCUGGUAGUCCACGCCCUAAACGAUGUCAACUGGUUGUUGGGUCUUAACUGACUCAGUAACGAAGCUAACGCGUGAAGUUGACCGCCUGGGGAGUACGGCCGCAAGGUUGAAACUUAAAGGAAUUGACGG
rnacentral:rRNA from 1 species